AAAGAAAGCGAGCUGAAGGAAUAGAUAGAGAGGGACAAGAUUAUGAUAGUGGUAAAAGAGUGGAGCGAGAAAGGAAGAAGGAAGUAAAAGAAGUGAAGUUUCGAGAGAUGCAAACGGGUUCUCCAGAAAGGAGGCCAAUGGCGCUGUUGAGGUCAUUGCCAAUCACCGACCGGUUACUACAUGUAUUGAGACGAACGGGAUGUUUCUUCGGAAAGUGGACGCAUGCAAUGAGUAACGAUUCGAAGAGCGUGGGUACAGAUGAAAGUGACCCAAUUGUCGAUCUCCUUGUAAGGAACUUCACAUGGUAGUUGGCAUGCAAUGCAAAUCCAAAAAAAAGUAAACAGAAUCAUAGCAGCAAGAAAGUAUGUCGAGCGGAAGGAUCAUCUGGCGUAUGAAAGCACCGAACGAGAAAAACAUCGGGAAAGAUUCUUGAAAGAGUACGGUCUUUCUGAUUUCCUUCUUAAAUCCGAUAGUUCGAUA